rnacentral:rRNA from 1 species
UACGAAGGGGGCGAGCGUUGUUCGGAAUUACUGGGCGUAAAGGGCGCGUAGGCGGCGAUCCUAGUCAGAUGUGAAAGUCCUGGGCUUAACCUGGGGACUGCAUUUGAUACUGGAUUGCUUGAAUGCAGGAGAGGAUAGCGGAAUUCCCAGUGUAGAGGUGAAAUUCGUAGAUAUUGGGAAGAACACCGGUGGCGAAGGCGGCUACCUGGACAGAAACUGACGCUGAGGCGCGAAAGCUAGGGGAGCAAACAGG